rnacentral:lncRNA from 1 species
GCAUCAGGAAACAAAUUAGCACGAUCACCUCUUUUCUGCUCUGCCUAGAAUGUCUUGAAGAGAGAGUCGAAGCCGUCCCAGAAGCUCAGCUCCUGACACUGACUGACGAGACUGGGUACUAUAUAUGGAGCUGACUGACGGAUUGUGUCGAUCUAGGGACAUCACCAUGAGCACGCUCAUGUUGCUAGCUGGGCUUGCGGGGUCCAAAGCUGCAACACAUCCCCGCAGCCAACGUGACCAUAAGCAC